CCUGACAAAGCUGGUGCCGUCUGGAUGGGU
rnacentral:piRNA from 1 species